GGGAGGGUCACGCGCGGUGCCGGCUCAUGGGUGUGCUAUAUCGUGGUGGAACGGUGCGCCGGUCGAGGAGGAGCUGAGCUGAAGACGGGGAUGCCGGCGUGCGGCGGCGCCCUCUCUGCAUGGCCCGGCUGCUGAGUGUCCUCCGGCGCGCCGUGCAGCGCCCCCGGCCCUACAGCGGCGCCCCUGAGCCCUCGCGCCGCCGACGCCCCCACCGCCGGCCAUGCCGGGAGGCAGGAGGGGCCUCGUCGCCCCGCAAAACACCUUCCUCGAGAACAUCAUACGUCGGUCGUCAUCGCAACCGGACAGCAGCUUUUUACUGGCCAAUGCGCAGAUUGUCGACUACCCAAUUGUCUACUGCAACGAGACAUUCUGCAAAAUAUCCGGCUUCAACCGAGCUGAGGU